rnacentral:rRNA from 1 species
GAUGAACGCUGGCGGCGUGCCUAAUACAUGCAAGUCGAGCGAACAGACGAUGAGCUUGCUCCUCUGACGUUAGCGGCGGACGGGUGUGUAACACGUGUAUAACCUACCUAUAUGUCUGGGAUAACUUCGGGAAACCGGAGCUAAUCCCGGAUAAUAUAUUGAACCGCAUGGUUCAAUAGUGAAAGUCGGUUUUGCUGUCACUUAUAGCUGUUUCCGCGCGGCAUUAGCUAGUUGGUACGGUAACGGCUUACCAAGGCUAGGAUGCGUAGCUGACCUGAGAGGGUGAUCGGCCACACGGGAACGGAGACACGGACCAGACGACUACGGGAGGCAGCAGAAGGGAAUCUUCCGCAAUGGGCGAAAGCCUGACGGAGCAACGCCGCGUGAGAGAUAAAAGUCUUCGGAUCGGAAAACUCUGUUAUUAGGGAAGAACAAAUGUGUAAGGAACUAAGGACGGCGUGACGGUACCUAAUCAGAAAGCCACGGCUAACUACGUG